GGAGCGCCUCGUACCCCGGCCAUACGCAGACUCGGCGCGCUGAAUUCCACCCCGCGGACCCGCGCCCCACAGACCUUUGUCCCACGGGUCCUGGUUCCGCAGACCCUAAUCCUGCAGACCCCUGAGCCCGCGGACCCUGGCCCAGCAGGUGGUGGUCGCGGUGGGUCCCAGCUCCGGGAGGGGACGCCCUGGGACGCGGAGGGGCGCGCGGGCGUGGGGGCCGUGGCUCAGCCCCCCUUCCUCUCGCUCCCUCCGCCUCCCUGGGCGCCCCCUCGCCCCCUUCCUCUCGCGUCCCCGGGUUCUCGCCCCUUCUUUCCUGAUGCCUGCCUGAUUUUCUGGAAAGACCGACACCCCCAGUCGCCCCCACCGCGGCUCCCGGUUCCUUCCCCUGCAGAGCAGACGGGGGCUGGAGUAGGGGCCAACAUGGGUGACAUGGGUGGACCGGCAGGGCGGUCCCUGGGGUGCCCUUUAACUCUUUCUGUGCCACAUCCCCGGUCUCUGGCCAGUCCUGUCGCGCUAAGGCCCCUCCAGCAGCGCUGACCCUGGUCCCCCACCUGCUGGUCCUGCGGCCGCGGGGCGCUCUCUCCUCCGUCCCACCCGCUCCUUCCACACCACCUCCUUUCCUGGGAGUGGAGAAGCCCCAGCCAGAACCCCUGCCUUCCCCAAGAGGCACGCUCAGAGGGACAUUCUCCCCUUCCUCACUCCCCCUAGAGCCACAUCACACCUGGCUUUGGGGCCCUAGAACCUCAGCCCGCGCCCCUCCCCUUCCACCCCCAGCCAUCCCUGCUCUGUGCCCAGUGAUCUUGGGGUCACCACAACCCCAUGGCGCCUUGAGGCCUCACCUUUCCUGGCCUCUCAGCAUCCUGGGACACUGAUGGUCAUGCCUUCCUUCUAGAAAGUUCUCUCCGAGGCUGUGGCUUCCAGGAUGAGCACUCUCCUCCUCCCACUUCCUCCCCUUCUCCUUCCCCCUCCUCCCUUCUCCCUGGAGAGGUCUUCCUCCAAGUCCCAGUCUUCUUCCCCACCCAGAGCCCCUCCCGCUGACACUUGUCUGCAGUGCCUGUCUCCGCUCCCGCUAGGAAGCCUCCCCUCCGGCAUCUCCAAUCCAUCUCUGGGUCCUGCUCCACCUGCAUUUCCCUAGACCUGUCCUGGCCACCCUCACCCUGGGACACCUCCUGCCCGUGGAGAGCUCCUCUGAUAGGUGCCGUCCUUGGUCUUGGGGGUCCUUUCUCCCUAAUUCUACUUCUGUUUUGGGGGCGUGGGAACCCAGGGUCUUAACCCCAGCCAUUCCCCCUCCCAGGGGCCACUUCCCUCUGAAGCUUAGCCCAGCUCUGUGACCCCCACAGGCCUGCCCCCACCUGGUCCUCACUCCCCUGCAUAGCCACACUGUGGGGGCUCCAUGCUUCCCAGCCCAUAGGAAGCCCUGUUCCCAGAGGGGGCCAUUCUGUUUUAGUUGGAGCAGUGGCCAGAGGCAAAGGUCAGAAGGCAAAGGUCAUAAAAGUUUGUCUCUACCUGCCAGCAUCUGCUCCUGCUACUGCAUCUUCUCCCCUCUCCACCCAAACCCUCCCUCAGCUCCUGCCCCCACCUCUCCAGAGGCACAGACAACAGGGUUCUGAUCUUGGGUCAUGGUGCUCCCCCUGCCAGCCUCAGUCCGAGACCUCUGUGAAUGGCGGUGAUGGCUAAUGGGAUGAGGGGGACCACCUCCUGGUGGCUGCAGGGACUGGGGUGAGGGUGCUGUAGGCUCUGCCUAAGUCAAGUGCCAUGGGGCUGAAGAGACGGCGCACCGGCCCUGGAGAAGAGUCCUCCCUGCCCUCCUGUGUCUGGCCUUGUUUCCUGGAGGACAGGUCCCCACGGGGCAGAGGCCCAGCAGUCCCAGAUUCAGCAAGAACUCUGCUAAGUCAGUUUGGCAAGAAGCCUCCAUCCCCCCAUAUCUGAUCAGGGUCCUCAGCCUCCGCCACCCCCAGGCGAUGUCUGCUUACCUUGCCUGCCUUCAGCAAGCUUCCUUUUACCUGGGUAGGGUCCUCAGCUUCCACCACCCCCAGGCGACGUCUGCUCACCCUGGCUGCCCGCAGCAAGAUUCCUGUUAUCUGGGUAGAGUCCUCAGCCUCCGCCACCCCCAGGCGAUGUCUGCUCACCUUGCCUGCCUUAAGCAAGAUUCCUGUUACCUGGGUUCCUUAGCCUCUGCCACCUCCAGGCCGUGUCUGCUAACCCUGUCUGCCGUCAGCAAGCUUCGUUUUACCUGGGUAGGUUCCUUAGCCUCUGCCACCUCCAGGCCGUGUCUGCUAACCCUGUCUGCCGUCAGCAAGCUUCAUUUUACCUGGGUAGGGUUCUCAGCCUCCGCCACCCCCAGGCGAUGUCUGCUAACCCUGCCUGCCCUCAGCAAGCUUCCUGUUUCC
rnacentral:lncRNA from 10 species